UGCUUCGGUAGCUCAGUUGGUUAGAGCACUUGCCCCCGAAAGGCAAAGGUCCCGAGUUCGAGUCUCGGUCGGGCAC
rnacentral:tRNA from 1 species